rnacentral:rRNA from 1 species
AGGGAAUCUUCCACAAUGGACGCAAGUCUGAUGGAGCAACGCCGCGUGAGUGAAGAAGGCUUUCGGGUCGUAAAACUCUGUUAUUGAAGAAGAACGUGUGUGACAGUAACUGGUCAUGCAGUGACGGUAUUCAAUCAGAAAGUCACGGCUAACUACGUGCCAGCAGCCGCGGUAAUACGUAGGUGGCAAGCGUUGUCCGGAUUUAUUGGGCGUAAAGCGAGUGCAGGCGGUCUUUUAAGUCUGAUGUGAAAGUCUUCGGCUUAACCGAAGAAGGGCAUCGGAAACUGGGAGACUUGAGUGCAGAAGAGGAGAGUGGAACUCCAUGUGUAGCGGUGAAAUGCGUAGAUAUAUGGAAGAACACCAGUGGCGAAGGUGGCUCUCUGGUCUGUAACUGACGCUGAGGCUCGAAAAGCGUGGGUAGCAAACAGGAU